GGGCAAGCCUUGUUCUCGGUAGUAUAGUAUACCCCGCGUUCAGGAAGGAAGAUGCAAUCCAACGAAGGUAAUACCAUACCAGGAAAGUCGCUAAGAAUGAAGCUCAGAAUGGAGCUAGUGCAGCUAAGAAUUAGACCUGAGAGAUGAGGGAUAAAGCAGCUAAUGCCAAGACGGCGUAGCUAGUAGCCUGUGCUGUUGUUCCCGGUUAAGCCGGCAAGCGUUGAUCGUCAUCCCAACCUAAAAAGUCAAUCCUAGCUCUUGCAGCUAAUCCUUAAUCCGGAAAGCAGCUAGAGCGGUUCCCGGCAACACCAUCCGCCCAGCCGGUAGCCUAACUAAAAUCAAUCCUCUUCGACGGUUUUCUCAUUCUCGGAAAGCGGCGAUCAUACCCGGCAGUCAGCCUUUAUAUAAGUUGUUCCCCGCUCCGCUUCUACAGUCCGGUUUUGACUCUUUAGUUCUUUCCGGUCUAGCUAUUGGAGCUAUUGUUCUUCC
rnacentral:misc_RNA from 1 species